rnacentral:lncRNA from 1 species
CUGCAACAAGUCCAGGAUGCAGUGCAAGCUGCACUGCCACUUAGAGAUCUAGUGAUACUUGAAGUGUCUAUGGCAAACAGGAAUGCAGUAUGAAGUCUCUGACAAGUCUCAAUAGGAGAUCACAAUCCAUAACUCUAGAGUUUUGGGGCAAAGCAACGCCCUCUUCUUUAGACUACCAUUCUCCCUUUGGGAAACAGCCUCUGGCUUGCUAUUAAACUCUGGUCAAGAUGAACCAUGGACCAUCAAGAACUCACGCAACCUGAGGCAGAAGCUAACAGCAUCUUUGUCUGUUUGAAGAAUAGUUAAAUCUUGUUAGGUGAAAAUGCAGAGUUGUUGUUAUAGAAUGGAAGGCCAACUACGUCUAGAAGGAUGGACACAGAUGCAGAACAGCCAAGGAGUGGACUGUGUUAAUUUAUAAGAACCUCACACCAUGGGUCCACAAUGGUAACACUGGCUGGCACUGUUUAAACACCGUGACUGUGCUGGAGAAGGGGUAGGACAAAAUGCCACAGGUGAAAUACAGGUAAAAAUGCCACAACGUUUUCCUAUGGUUUUCAAGUUGCCUUUCAAUUUAUUCAGCAUUUGCUUGGUUGCUGUAAACUUUGACUGUUUUCCAGAGUUCUGACAAACUUGGUUCUGAAGUUUGUUUUUUGAUGUUUCUGUGUGUGGAUAAGAGGUUGGAUCUGCCUUUUUUAUCAGUUU